rnacentral:ncRNA from 1 species
GAACGCCGUAUGAGGGGAAACUCUCACGUACGGUGUGGAGGAGGGGAAAAGGCGGCGAUAACAUCAAAGCCUUAC